GACAACGCUGGCGGCGUGCUUAACACAUGCAAGUCGAACGGAAAGGCCCUGCUUUUGUGGGGUGCUCGAGUGGCGAACGGGUGAGUAACACGUGAGUAACCUGCCCUUGACUUUGGGGAUAACUUCAGGAAAACUGGGGCUAAUACCGGAUAGGAGCUCCUGCUGCAUGGUGGGGGUUGGAAAGUUUCGGCGGUUGGGGAUGGACUCGCGGCUUAUCAGCUUGUUGGUGGGGUAGUGGCUUACCAAGGCUUUGACGGGUAGCCGGCCUGAGAGGGUGACCGGUCACAUUGGGACUGAGAUACGGCCCAGACUCCUACGGGAGGCAGCAGUGGGGAAUAUUGCACAAUGGGCGGAAGCCUGAUGCAGCAACGCCGCGUGCGGGAUGACGGCCUUCGGGUUGUAAACCGCUUUCGCCUGUGACGAAGCGUGAGUGACGGUAAUGGGUAAAGAAGCACCGGCUAACUACGUG
rnacentral:rRNA from 1 species